UUAUUUUGGCAGAUUAGUGCAAUGAAUUUAGAAUUCAUAUAUAUAAAAUUAUAUUAUAAAUAAUA
rnacentral:tRNA from 1 species